UCUAGCCCUAGUGCAAGAAUCUCUUAAGUUUAGGGGGGGUCUACAAACACGGAUAUAGGGAAAGGACUUUGCUCCUCUCUAAAAGUAGUGUGACAGUCUCUCUUGGAAGGAAACAAUGAACUGCUCCAUUGCUUUUAACUGUUUUAUCUUGUUAGAUGUUCUUUUAUUUGAUGUUUCUAUCUGGAUCCUCCGUCUCUUUUACCGUCAUCCUGAGGUCUCCGUGGUGCCACGUGAGCAGUCAUCCCCCACGUCCCAUGUCAUUUGGCUUUGUCCAGGUAGGAGCGCGGCCACGUUAUCACACAUGGCUCAGUGCUCUGCCUUCCCACAGGAAACCAGAUGUGUCAUUCCAAACAUGUGGCAAACGUGCUGUGUCCCACAAGCCAUGACUAAUUCUGUGCCACCCCAUUCAGAUAUCACUGCCAUAAAUUGUGGGAAGAGAAAUGACCUACUCCCUGGUAAUGUAUCUCUCUCCCAGAACUCAGUUCCUCUAACCACUUAAAGUUUCCUCCCACGGCCUGUUUGGCACAUCUCAUCACCUUUAAGGACUUCUUAUAAGCUUGACCGGAUGCUGUUGUGAAGGAAGCACCAUGAUGGUGUUGGUUUACUAAGUCCUGGGGUGUGGAUGCUUUUGCCAGAUUUUGCUGCACUGAGUAGCCUGGGGAAAGGUCCACAUCUCCAAAAGACUCAUCCACUUGUCUGCACAAUCCUAAGUGCCAUGUUCCUGUCAGAUGCUGAGGGGACACCUACCUUAAAUUAAGUUCUAGCACCAUCUGACAACAUUGUCUGCGUGCUGCACAUACUUCGCUGUCCCUCUUCCUCUUUCUGACAAACACCUGCCCUCGCAUUGGGCCCGUGCAGAGGCCUCAGGAAGGGCCGUCUAGAGUCGGUGCCUCAGCCUCCCAGGGAGGACAGGCUUCUAAAUAAUGAGUCGUCUGGGUGAGGGAGGUGCAGCAGCAUCUUUACUGCAACACUCGACAAGUGAUGAAAGACCUUGUCUCUGUGCCCCUAGAGAAGGUCAACAAGUGCAGGGACCAGAGAGCGUUUCCAAUCACAAGAGCACCACAGACGUUUGCUCUGGGAACCCAGUGCCAGGACUCCAGAAAGAAGUUCUGGGUGGAGUGAGAUGCCUCCUUUGCUACCCUGCACAUUUCCUCAGCCUCUUCUGCGACACAGUCCCGCUGGCAAACCGCACCUUGUCCGGACGGCCAUUCACCACCUUUUGCACAUGCGUUCCAUGCCUUGCACUAACGCCUGCGUUCUCUAAAGUCCUUUUUUUUACUCUUCGUUCUCAAAUCGCCCCCCGCCCCCGGGCCACAAGCUGAUAGGAUGGAAGUGCACUUUAUGAAACGGACACUUGCCGACCGAGACAGCUCCGCCCUGAAGUCCUCCUCUGCCUCGGAACGCAAAUAGUUCUUAUUUGCCAAAGAACAGGGAAUCGGGCCCAAAGAGCAAAUACAGCAUUUCGCACAAUUGGAACCACAGACGCACACCUCGGGAGUGACUGAAGCUGCAGAACCAAGAGCAAGACGAGCAUGUGUCUGUCCACAGCGGCUGUGAGCUCUCCAAUUCUAGAAUGUUCCUUCUCUCCCUGUCCCCUGUGAAAGGCACCCUUGUUUUUAUGAAAGAAAAUGCUGCAUAGGAAAAACGAAAUGCCUUUCGUUCAAAUGUGUUCUAUCCGUGUGACCCAUUAUUCUGUACCUUUCAUGUUUAUUGUACAUUCUAUUCCUAUAAUUAUUGUACAACCCUGUAAGCAUUGUAAAAUCGUUCUGAAAUUUGUGCCUGCUAGUUAUGCAAUAAACAGGCUCUGUAGUA